GACGAACGCUGGCGGCGUGCUUAACACAUGCAAGUCGAACGAAGUGGCGGACGGGUGAGUAACGCGUAAUCAACCUGCCCUUCAGAGGGGGACAACAGUGGGAAACGACGGCUAAUACGGCAUACGGAAGGGGGAGAUUGCGGCGGAAUGGCUAGUUUGGGGGGUAACGGCCCACCAAGGCGAUGGGCAGUAGCCGGUCUUGGAGGAUGAACGGCCACAUUGGGACUGGGACACGGCCCAGACUCCUACGGGAGGCAGCAGUGGGGAAUCUUCCGCAAUGGACGAAAGGCUGACGGAGCAACGCCGCGUGAGUGAUGACGGCCUUCGGGUUGUAAAGCUCUGUUAAUCGGGACGCGGUACCGGAAUAGAAAGCCACGGCUAACUACGUGCCAGCAGCCGCGGUAAUAC
rnacentral:rRNA from 1 species